UGGAGACUCAAAUCCACGACCAAUACCCGAAAUCGGUCAUAACGGGCUCAUGGAAACAAGACCCAAAAGCUCGCUUCUCCAACAGACGGAAGAGAAUGGGCCUCCGUCAACUGUUUUAGCGUCAAGAGGCGGGAAGCCAAUAUUCUGUCCCGUCUCCUCCCGCCCAGAAACGAGGAACCCGUCGCCCCUCGCCCGGCACCGAUCGCUCCUCGCCCCUCGCUCGGCACCGAUCGCUCCUCGCCCCUCGCCCGGCACCGAUCGCUGUCAGCCUGGUCGCCCACUCAUCCAGCUGCUUGAAGCCAUGGCCUUUAACUACUAUCAACGCACAUGGUGUGGAUCUGCUGCCGCUACUACUAAUUAUGAUGAAAUCGAAGCAUGUGCUGUUGUCGUUUCAACAUUAAGGAAGAAACGGCGCUGGGGAGGCUCUGUUGUUGGCCACAAGACAAAAAAUCGUGACCGUAUUGGUGGCAACAUUCAAUUGAACAAUGAUUACUUUA